GGCCGUUGGCGAUGUAAGACUAACAACAAUUGCGUUUUCUUAUCUUCCAGCACAUAUCUCUCGUGAUGGUUCCCGAAUACAAGCAAUGCAAUUGAUAAUAACCAAAAUAUGCGAUUCGAUCACUGAAGACAUCCGCCGAUGAUUUGUUGGUCCCAAGAACGGAUAUUCCCCUGUGUCCAAGGAACAUCUGACUCUACCACCUUCACCCGCAAUCGUUCAUUAUACUAAUAACACAUAUCUCUCGUGGCGGCCCUCGAAUACAAGCAAUGCAAUCGAAAAUGACCAGAAUAUGCCGUUCGAUGACUGAGGACAUCCGCAUGAUGUCCAUGAUCCACAUGAUGAUAUAUGGGUCCAAGGUGAAGUGCAUCGAUCAGUUAAAAUAACUCAAAAUUCAUUGAAAAUACGCCAACAACCAACGAAGCCGUACACAGACGCCUGUCACCAGUGAAACAAGUAGUUCAUCGUGGAGUUCGACACAAAGUUUACAAUUUUGGGGAGACAGAACAGUGCCAAUUAGAUUCGCGACCGCUCGAAUUAAGGAGCAGAGAUCAAGGGGUCGUUCGCGACGGACAAAGGCAAGGGAAAAGUUUUCCUUGAGAGAAAGAAAAACGAGAAGCGUAGAUGUCAGAGGCUGUCACACGCACAAUCGCGAAAGAUAGAAACGAUUCGCACUUGGGAGGAGAGGGGAACCCCUUCUACCGAUGCGAUCCCCUUUCUGGUCACCGACAAUGGUCCACAGGGAGAAAUUGAAUUGGCAACAUCAGUAAACGACGCCGGAGUUCCUACAGCACCCCCGAAAAGGAGCGAGAAACGUGAACGAGCGGGACGAAAGUGAGCUCGUGGAAGGGGUUGCUGGCUGAAGAGGGAAAGAGACGGUGAACAGGGACGCGUUUCACGCCUCGUGGAUUUCAAACCGUUUGAAAUCCAGGUGGAAAUAAUACAACUUUGCGUUCCUUGUUAAAGAUCAAAGGGAACUUACCCCAAUCUCGAUUUCGACGGUCCUAGGUUUCUCUUUCUCUGUUUCUCCCGUUCCUUUCGAUACAUACAGCCAACGGUAAGACGUUUCAUAUCCGUGGGCUCUAUUCAAAACCAUUUACGAAUAGCAUCGUAUUGUUUUUCCCCAAUACAACCGAGUCUUUUGUCUCGACUGCGACGAUACGCGGGCCUAUUUUUUUCAUUUCUCUUAGUGCCAGAUAUGCAACCGCACAUACAAUUUCAGUCUACUGUUUGAUUUCAAAAACUUCAAUUAAUGUUCAACUGCGGCGAGCGAUAUUACAGUCAUUAGCAUUAUGCGAUAUGACAUUUGGUCAACCAUCGCUUAUACCGGCAAUAAAACUAAAACUAAAUUGGUUUAGAACAUGAGAAUAUCGAAAUAGGCAUAUCAGUUUAGUCUCUAAUGAACACAACAUGCACUUCAUAUUUUCUUACAUACAUAUAUUUAGUAUGAAUUAGGCGCUUUUCGAAUUCUUACGACUGCGAGCAUAGAAUUGAGAGAAAAUAAAAAUAUCUAUCAAAAUGAAUCAUCUAAUGCUAUAAUACAACGCUAUAUCAUCAAAUUUCUUACAUUAUUGUUUAUAUUUGUAUUUAUUGUUUCAUAUAAUAUUUUUGUGUUAUUCAGAACAAGCACACGACGUAAUAAAUAGCAAUGUAUAUUACUUA